GACGAACGCUGGCGGCGUGCUUAACACAUGCAAGUCGAACGGAAAGGCCCUGCUUUUGUGGGGUGCUCGAGUGGCGAACGGGUGAGUAACACGUGAGUAACCUGCCCUUGACUUUGGGAUAACUUCAGGAAACUGGGGCUAAUACCGGAUAGGAGCUCCUGCUGCAUGGUGGGGGUUGGAAAGUUUCGGCGGUUGGGGAUGGACUCGCGGCUUAUCAGCUUGUUGGUGGGGUAGUGGCUUACCAAGGCUUUGACGGGUAGCCGGCCUGAGGGGGUGACCGGACAAAGGGGGGAUGAGGAACGCCCAAAGCCCCUGGGGGGGGCAGAUGGGGGGAAUAAUGAAAAGGGGGGGGAGGGGUGAGGAAGCAACGCCGGGGGGGGGGGGGGGGCCUUGGGGUUGAAAACCGCUUUCCAGUGGGGCGAAGCGGGAGUGGCGGAAAGGGGUAAAGAAGCAGCGGCAAAUUGUG
rnacentral:rRNA from 1 species